rfam:Beta vulgaris subsp. vulgaris Bvchr9.sca022.con0032.1, whole genome shotgun sequence.
AGUCUGUUAGCUCAAUUGGUAGAGUAUUGUGUAUGCAAAUACACAAAAAUGUGGGUUUGAAUCCUGCAUAGGCUC